CAUGCAAGUCGAGCGGGCAUCCUUGUGGUGUCAGCGGCAGACGGGUGAGUAACGCGUGGGAACGUGCCCUUCGGUUCGGAAUAACUCAGGGAAACUUGAGCUAAUACCGGAUACGUGCGAGAGCAGAAAGGUUUAUCUGCCGAAGGAUCGGCCCGCGUCUGAUUAGCUAGUUGGUGAGGUUACGGCUCACCAAGGCGACGAUCAGUAGCUGGUCUGAGAGGAUGAUCAGCCACNCUGGGACUGANACACGGCCCAUACUCCUACGGGAGGCAGCNGUGGGGAAUAUUGNACAAUGGGGGCAACCCUGAUCCAGCCAUGCCGCGUGAGUGAUGACGGCCUUAGGGUUGUAAAGNUCUUUUCUCCGGGACNAUAAUGACGGUACCGGAGGAAUAANCCCCGGCUAACUUCNUGCCAGCAGCCGCGGUAAUACGAAGGGGGCUAGCGUUGCUCGGAAUCACUGGGCGUAAAGGGCGCGUAGGCGGCUGAUUUAGUCGAGGGUGAAAGCCCGUGGCUCAACCACGGAAUGGCCUUCNAUACUGAUUGGCUUGAGACCGGAAGAGGACAGCGGAACUGCGAGUGUAGAGGUGAAAUUCGUAGAUAUUCGCAAGAACACCAGUGGCGAAGGCGGCUGUCUGGUCCGGUUCUGACGCUGAGGCNCGAAAGCGUGGGGAGCAAACANGAUUAGAUACCCUGGUAGUCCACGCUGUAAACGAUGAAUGCUAGCCGUUGGGGUGCAUGCACCUCAGUGGCGCCGCUAACGCUUUAANCAUUCCGCCUGGGGAGUAC
rnacentral:rRNA from 1 species